rnacentral:rRNA from 1 species
UCGAUAGUCUUUCGCCCCAUGCGCAGAUUUGACGAUCGAUUUGCACGUCAGAACCGCUGCGAGCCUCCACCAGAGUUUCCUCUGGCUUCACCCUAUCCACGCAUAGUUCACCAUCUUUCGGGUCCGAACAGUUAUGCUCUUACUCAAAUCCAUCCGAAGACAUCAGGAUCGGUCGAUGAUGCACCCGUAAGGGCUCUCACCUCCGUUCACUUUCAUUACGCUUGAGGGUUUAACACCCAAAAACUCGCAUAAAUGUUCGACUCCUUGGUCCGUGUUUCAAGACGGGUGGCUGAUGACCAUUAUGCCAGCAUCCUAGCCGAAGCGCGGUCCUCAGUCCCAGCGGCGGUAUUACACAGCAGGCUAUAACACUCCCGGGGGAGUCACGUUCCUGAAGUCUUUAUCCCGCCGCCGAAACUGAUGCUGGCCUCAACCAAGCGGAGUGCACCGGUGAGAACACCGGAUGAUCCGCAAGGCAAAGGUCUGGUCACAAGCCCUUCCCUUUCAACAAUUUCACGUACUAUUUAACCCUCUUUUCAAAGUGCUUUUCAUCUUUCGAUCACUCUACUUGUGCGCUAUCGGUCUCUGGCCGGUAUUUAGCUUUAGAAGAAAUUUACCUCCCAUUUAGAGCAGCAUUCCCAAACUACUCGACUCGUCGAAGGAGAUUUACAGAGGCUCGGCAUCCAACCGUACGGGGCUCUCACCCUCUAAGGCGUCCUGUUCCAAGGAACUCGGAAGGUACCUAACCAAAAUCAUCCUCUACAAAUUACAACUCGGACCCGAGGGCCAGAUUUCAAAUUUGAGCUGUUGCCGCUUCACUCGCCGUUACUAGGGCAU